rnacentral:rRNA from 1 species
UACUAGAGUAGCACUCGCAUAUCAAUAAGCGGAGGAAAAGAAACUAACAAGGAUUCCCCUAGUAACGGCGAGUGAAGCGGGAAGAGCUCAAAUUUGAAAUCUUAAAGGGUUUCCCUUUACGAAUUGUAGUUUAAAGAAGUGUCUUCUGUUGAGGUUUUGGUAAAAGUUCUUUGGAAUAGGACAUCAUAGAGGGUGAGAAUCUCGUAUUUGACCUUUACUUUCAACUUUGUGAUACACUUUCAAAGAGUCGGAUUGUUUGGGAAUGCAGUCCAAAAUGGGUGGUAAAUUUCAUCUAAAGCUAAAUAUUGGCGAGAGACCGAUAGCGAACAAGUACCGUGAGGGAAAGAUGAAAAGAACUUUGAAAAGAGAGUUAAACAGUACGUGAAAUUGUCAAAAGGGAAGCGUUUGACACCAGUGUUGUUUUUCUGAAAAUCAAUUAAAGAACUGUUUAUGCUAAGCUGUUUAGACUUUAUCAGCUAUCUGUUUAGUUUUGAGCUUUUCUUUAAUGCACUUUUCAGUUAACAAGUCAACAUCAAUUUCUUUUGCUGUAAAAAAGCUUGAGGAAGGUGGCUUGAGAUUCGUCUUAAGUGUUUAUAGCCUCUUGCCUAUGCAGUCGGAGAGAUUGAGGUCUGCAGCGUAGAUCCUUCGGGGCUAAAUGCAUUUGUGCUAAGUUAUAGCAUUUUAUAGACAACUUGUUGACUAUGAUUUGUCUUGUAGCUUACUCGCUUAUGUUAUUUUACCUACGCUUAGGAUGUUGAAGACUCUACAGAGAUA